UACGAAGGGGGCUAGCGUUGCUCGGAAUUACUGGGCGUAAAGCGCGUGUAGGCGGCCCGGUAAGUCCGCUGUGAAAGUCGGGGGCUCAACCCUCGGAUGCCGGUGGAUACUGUCGGGCUCGAGUACGGAAGAGGCGAGUGGAAUUCCUGGUGUAGCGGUGAAAUGCGCAGAUAUCAGGAGGAACACCAAUUGCGAAGGCAGCUCGCUGGGACGUUACUGACGCUGAGACGCGAAAGCGUGGGGAGCAAACAGG
rnacentral:rRNA from 1 species